CAGACAUUUGGUUUAUCUGUGUCAUUGGUC
rnacentral:piRNA from 1 species